ACUCAUCUAGGUAAGAUUAAUUGUAUGUUGGCACAAUCACUUUUUAGUUCAUACUUUCAUGGAUAAAGCUUUCAGCGGCCCAACGAUCAGAAAUGAUCCAAAUAUCGCAGACUCAUCCACCCAAACAGAGCCAAAUUAUAAGUAGUUUUCAAGGUAUAAUCUAUCCUUUCCUCUUCCACCAACACAUAAAAACCCCCAAG
rnacentral:lncRNA from 1 species